CGUGCCAGCAGCCGCGGUAAGACGAAGGUGGCAAGCGUUGUUCGGAAUCACUGGGCUUAAAGAGCACGUAGGCGGACUGUCAAGCGUCUUGUGAAAGCCCUCGGCUUAACCGGGGAAUUGCUUGGCGAACUGGCAGUCUUGAGGCAGGUAGGGGCAACUGGAACUCUUGGUGGAGCGGUGGAAUGCGUAGAUAUCAAGAGGAACGCCAGAGGCGAAGGCGAGUUGCUGGGCCUGUCCUGACGCUGAGGUGCGAAAGCCAGGGGAGCGAACGGGAUUAGAUACCCCGGUAGUCCUGGCCCUAAACGAUGUCUACUAGGUCGAGGAUUCUCUGACGGAUUCUUGGCCGAAAUGAAAACGAUAAGUAGACCGCCUGGGGAGUACGGUCGCAAGGCUAAAACUCAAAGGAAUUGACGGGGGCUCACACAAGCGGUGGAGCAUGUUGCUUAAUUCGAUGCAACGCGAAGAACCUUAUCCUGGGCUUGACAUGAUUGGAUGCCCUCUGGGAAACCAGAGUAAGCUGCCCUUCGGGGUGAAACUUUCACAGGUGCUGCAUGGCUGUCGUCAGCUCGUGUCGUGAGAUGUUGGGUUAAGUCCCGUAACGAGCGAAACCCUUGUCGCUAGUUGCCGGCGCGUAAUGGCGGGGACUCUAGCGAGACUGCCGGUGUCAAACCGGAGGAAGGUGGGGAUGACGUCAAGUCCUCAUGGCCUUUAUGCCCAGGGCUGCAAACGUGCUACAAUGGCCGGUACAAAGCGAAGCAAGACCGCGAGGUGGAGCAAAUCGCAAAAAGCCGGCCUCAGUUCGGAUUGGAGUCUGCAACUCGACUCCAUGAAGUCGGAAUCGCUAGUA
rnacentral:rRNA from 1 species